GCAUAAUCAUUUGCCCCCUAAUUAGGGGAUAGUAUGAAUGGCCAAACGAAAGUCCAACUGUAUCAUUUAUAACCCUAUAAAUUAAAUUUCAGGUGAAGAUGCCUGAUUAAAUUUGAAAGACAAGAAGACCCUAUAGAGUUUUAGUUUAUUCUCACUCCUUAAAAGAUAAAACUUUUGUUGGGGCGACAAAGGAUAAUCAAAACCAUCCUAUAAACAAACGACCAAUCCCUCCUAAACAUGACCCUUACCAAAGAUCAAAAAAUAAAACUACCUUAGGGAUAACAGGCUAAUCUCCUUUAAGAGUUCUAAUCGAAAAGGAAGUUUGGCACCUCGAUGUUGGCUUAGAGAUCCUUAUUACUGCAACAGGUAAUCAAGGUAGUUUGUUCAACUAAUAAUCCUCU
rnacentral:rRNA from 1 species